GCUCUGGCUGUGUUUCUCCCAAGGGUCUGAAAUCUCCUCACCAUGCUCUGGGUUCCCCUCAUUGUCCUACUGGGGAUGUGGUGCACAGGUUCCAGCUCACAGCCUGUGCUGACUCAGCCGCCCUCAAUGUCAGUGUCCCCAGGAAACACCGUGAAACUCUCCUGCACCAUGAGCAGUGGGACCAGCAUCGGUAGCUACACUGUGCAUUGGUACCAGCAGAAACCUGGGAAUUCUCCACUAUACCUGCUGUAUUACUAUUCGGAUUCCAGCAAGGGCCAAGGCUCUGGGAUCCCUGCUCGCUUCUCUGGUUCCAAAGACACGGCCAGUAACGCCGGCUAUCUGACCAUCUCCGGGGUCCUGGCAGAGGAUGAUGCUGAUUAUUACUGUGCUGUGUGGCACAGUGAUGCGUGGAUCUUCGGUGGAGGAACCCAGCUGACCGUCCUUGGUCAGCCAAAGGCAUCUCCUACAGUGCACCUCUUCCCUCCAUCCUCUGAAGAGAUAAAAACAAAGAGCAAAGCCACACUGGUGUGUCUGCUGGGCAGCUUUUACCCAGGGGCAGUCCAAGUCACCUGGAAAGCUGAUGGCCAGCAGAUCUCCACUGGAGUGGAGACGACCAAACCAUCCAAACAGAGUGACAACAAGUACAUGGCCAGCAGUUACCUGUCUCUGGAUGCAUCAAAGUGGAAGACCCAUGAGACCUACACCUGUCAGGUGACACACGAUGGGAAGAACAUCGAGAAGUCCCUGAAGAGCUCAGAGUGUUCUUAACAUUCUGACCCCCAGACGGCUUGGCUGGUUCCCGUGUCAAGUCUAUAGGGGGUUCCCCAAGGGAGCCAGGAUCUGUCUGUAGCAUUCUCAUAAUGCUGAUUUCCAGCAAAUGUGCUUCCUGUUUUAGGUGGGGGAUUUUACCAAUCCAUAUGACACCUGUCUUUAUUCCCACGUCCCCACUGCUCUCACCCCCCUGCAUUCCCUGGAAAUGUCCUUCCUGCUUUAGUCUCUGAUGCAGCCUUGUUAAGAUAUUAAUAAAAUCUGAAAAAAUUGACUAUUACUGUGACUGUGAAGAGUUUAACUUCCUCUGUCCCUUUUACACCUCAUGUAUUAAUUGCAAUAUUCACCUUCUCUUCCAAUAAAAUAAAUGUACCUUU